AACGAACGCUGGCGGCAUGCCCAACACAUGCAAGUCGAACGAGACCUUCGGGUCUAGUGGCGCACGGGUGCGUAACGCGUGGGAAUCUGCCCUUGGGUUCGGAAUAACAGUUGGAAACGACUGCUAAUACCGGAUGAUGACGUAAGUCCAAAGAUUUAUCGCCCAGGGAUGAGCCCGCGUAGGAUUAGCUAGUUGGUGGGGUAAAGGCCUACCAAGGCGACGAUCCUUAGCUGGUCUGAGAGGAUGAUCAGCCACACUGGGACUGAGACACGGCCCAGACUCCUACGGGAGGCAGCAGUGGGGAAUAUUGGACAAUGGGCGAAAGCCUGAUCCAGCAAUGCCGCGUGAGUGAUGAAGGCCUUAGGGUUGUAAAGCUCUUUUACCCGGGAUGAUAAUGACAGUACCGGGAGAAUAAGCCCCGGCUAACUCCGUG
rnacentral:rRNA from 1 species